AUUGAACGCUGGCGGCAGGCCUAACACAUGCAAGUCGAGCGAGAGGCGGACGGGUGAGGAAUGUCUGGGGAUCUGCCCGCUAGAGGGGGAUAACUACUGGAAACGGUGGCUACUACCGCAUACUAUCGGAUGAACCCAGUUGGGAUUAGCUAGUAGGGGGGGUAAAGGCUCACCUAGGCGACGAUCUCUAGCUGGGCUGAGAGGAUGAUCAGCCACACUGGGACUGAGACACGGCCCAGACUCCUACGGGAGGCAGCAGUGGGGAAUAUUGCACAAUGGGCGAAAGCCUGAUGCAGCCAUGCCGCGUGUAUGAAGAAGGCCUUAGGGUUGUAAAGUACUUUCAGCGGGGAGGCGUUACCCGCAGAAGAAGCACCGGCUAACUCCGUGCCAGCAGCCGCGGUAAUUC
rnacentral:rRNA from 1 species